UACGGAAGGCAGCAGGGGGAAUAUUGCACAAUGGGCGAAAGCCUGAUGCAGCUAUGCCGCGUGUAUGAAGAAGGCCUUAGGGUUGUAAAGUACUUUCAUCGGGGAGGAAAAAACAAAACUAAUAAUUUUAUUUCUUGACGUUACCCGAAAAAGAAGCACCGGCUAACUCCGUGCCAGCAGCCGCGGUAAUACGGAGGGUGCUAGCGUUAAUCAGAAUUACUGGGCGUAAAGAGCACGUAGGUGGUUUUUUUAAAGUCAGAUGUGAAAUCCCUGGGCUUAACCUGGAACUGCAUUUUGAAACUGAAAUACUAGAGUAUCGUAGAGGGAGGUAGAAUUCUAGGUGUAGCGGUGAAAUGCGUAGAUAUCUGGAGGAAUACCUGUGGCGAAGGCGGCCUCCUAACGAAUCUGACACUGAGGGUGCGAAAGCGUGGGGAGCAAACAGGGAUUAGAUACC
rnacentral:rRNA from 1 species